UGGCUCAGAACGAACGCUGGCGGCAGGCCUAACACAUGCAAGUCGGACGAGAAGGUACCUUCGGGUACUGGAGAGUGGCGCACGGGUGAGUAACGCGUGGGGACCUACCUUUUAGUGGGGGAUAACGGUUGGAAACGACCGCUAAUACCGCAUACGCCCUUCGGGGGAAAGAUUUAUCGCUAAGAGAUGGACCCGCGUUGGAUUAGAUAGUUGGUGAGGUAACGGCUCACCAAGUCGGCGAUCCAUAGCUGGUUUGAGAGGAUGAUCAGCCACACUGGGACUGAGACACGGCCCAGACUCCUACGGGAGGCAGCAGUGGGGAAUAUUGGACAAUGGGGGCAACCCUGAUCCAGCCAUGCCGCGUGAGUGAAGAAGGCCUUCGGGUUGUAAAGCUCUUUCAGAUGCGAAGAUGAUGACGGUAACAUCAGAAGAAGCCCCGGCUA
rnacentral:rRNA from 1 species